GUAACCAUUACUAACUGCCUGGAACAAAGUAAGGAAUGCAGCUCCUUACCGAGUACCAUUCUCAGCAACUGUUGCUGGAGGCAUAGGGAACCCUGACCCCAGGCCUUAGCAGGAAAAAGUAACCAAGACUGAAAAGUGACUGAGAGUGAUGGGGCCAGCAUAUUCCCUUUGAAGCACCACAUCACGGAUUAUGGAUUCACCAGCAGGCAAGCAAUGAAGAGGGACAAGGUCAACAGGACUCCAUGAGAAGUAAAACAGAGCAAGUGCCAGAGAUCCAGCUUCAAGCCACUGAACCAACGCUAUACAGAGUGAUCAGCUGUGCUACUGCCAAUGCUGCCUUUCGAUGGAUGAGAUGUAAACACAGAGCCCCUGUCUGCUUGUGGUCAUUAAUACGAUUUGUUCUCACUGAGAGGCAGCACAGGUUUUAUUCCCAGAUCUCCUACAGACCUGCUGUGUGGCAAUGGGCAAGUCAUUUUCACUCCCAGCUCCUCUGCUUCCUCCUCUCCCUCCCCCACCCCACUUUGUCUAUACCGUAAGCUCUUUGGAUCAGUGACUUCUCUUACUACAGUGCCUAGCACAACAGGUCUGUGAUCUCAACUUGGGCCUCUAAGUAUUACUGUCAUCAUUAUACCAACCACCACCACCAAUUAAAAACUCUUCCAAAAAUUAGGGGUCAGACCUGCAGUGUCCUGGUCAAAUUCUGACUUGGGUAAUUAUAUUCUCCCUACUGAAAAUCCCUUUGUACUUUUAAUGGGAUAAAUUAGUCUUCAAUUCCUCCUCUAAAAACUCAGCAAAAUACAGGUGCAAAAAUGGCUUCCACAUUCCUACCACAUAGUUCACUACAUUCCUCCCCACAACUUCCAUUAGAUAAACACCUCCACUGAUUUUAAAACAAGUAAUAAAAGUUUUGUUAUGGAACAAAAAUUAUGGCUAAGAGUCAAAAAAUCCUGGACUGCUAAACCACCUCACCCUCUCAACUCCAACCAGGAGGCUCAUGUGCAUUUUUACUUGCACAUCUCUAUUUUUCUUUAGAUAAGAGAAUUUUUUUCCAUAUUAUAAAAAAUUAUUUAAUUUCAUGAUUCACCUUAUAAACCCUAUGCUCACGUAAGGCGAUACCUGGCAGGUUGACAUGGAAUCUUUUAAAAGUGAGCCACAAGAGCUUUCCACCUUCUAAGGAUCAAAUAUUUUGCACAAUGAUGGAAAAUUGCAAUCUUUAUUUUUUAAAUGAUUUGUUGUCCCAUAUAGCAAAUGAUGUUCUGACUCAGCUGAUAACUUAGGACUCUUAUGAUACUUUCUGAUACAAUUUCCAUUACAUCUGACUAAAGCUGUUGAAAAAAAUCGAAAAUAAUUUUGUGAAAAAUUUCACAACUAUUUCCAUUUUGCAGGAUUUUUUUUUCUAAAUCAUGAUUUUUUUUUAACCAUAAACUGUGUAUGCUUACUGAACCCUUGUUUUUGGAAAA